rnacentral:rRNA from 1 species
CCAGAGUUUGAUCAUGGCUCAGAUUGAACGCUGGCGGCAGGCCUAACACAUGCAAGUCGAACGGUAACAGGAAGCAGCUUGCUGCUUUGCUGACGAGUGGCGGACGGGUGAGUAAUGUCUGGGAAACUGCCUGAUGGAGGGGGAUAACUACUGGAAACGGUAGCUAAUACCGCAUAACGUCGCAAGACCAAAGAGGGGGACCUUCGGGCCUCUUGCCAUCGGAUGUGCCCAGAUGGGAUUAGCUAGUAGGUGGGGUAACGGCUCACCUAGGCGACGAUCCCUAGCUGGUCUGAGAGGAUGACCAGCCACACUGGAACUGAGACACGGUCCAGACUCCUACGGGAGGCAGCAGUGGGGAAUAUUGCACAAUGGGCGCAAGCCUGAUGCAGCCAUGCCGCGUGUAUGAAGAAGGCCUUCGGGUUGUAAAGUACUUUCAGCGGGGAGGAAGGGAGUAAAGUUAAUACCUUUGCUCAUUGACGUUACCCGCAGAAGAAGCACCGGCUAACUCCGUGCCAGCAGCCGCGGUAAUACGGAGGGUGCAAGCGUUAAUCGGAAUUACUGGGCGUAAAGCGCACGCAGGCGGUUUGUUAAGUCAGAUGUGAAAUCCCCGGGCUCAACCUGGGAACUGCAUCUGAUACUGGCAAGCUUGAGUCUCGUAGAGGGGGGUAGAAUUCCAGGUGUAGCGGUGAAAUGCGUAGAGAUCUGGAGGAAUACCGGUGGCGAAGGCGGCCCCCUGGACGAAGACUGACGCUCAGGUGCGAAAGCGUGGGGAGCAAACAGGAUUAGAUACCCUGGUAGUCCACGCCGUAAACGAUGUCGACUUGGAGGUUGUGCCCUUGAGGCGUGGCUUCCGGAGCUAACGCGUUAAGUCGACCGCCUGGGGAGUACGGGCGCAAGGUUAAAACUCCAAUGAAUUGACGGGGGCCCGCACAAGCGGUGGAGCAUGUGGUUUAAUUCGAUGCAACGCGAAGAACCUUACCUGGUCUUGACAUCCACGGAAGUUUUCAAGAUGAGAAUGUGCCUUCGGGAACCGUGAGACAGGUGCUGCAUGGCUGUCGUCAGCUCGUGUUGUGAAAUGUUGGGUUAAAUCCCGCUACGAGCGCAACCCUUAUCCUUUGUUGCCACCGGUCCGCCCGGGAACUCAAAGGAGACUGCCAGUGAUAAACUGGAGGAAGGAGGGGAUGACG